UAGCAGCGGACUCCGUUCCGGAUCCGCUUUUCCUACGGCAGAUCCGUGUCACAGUAACCUCCGUUUAGCGUAUUCGGCCCGUCUCCAAUUCGGAUUCGGUUCGCGAGUCGAUUCACUGUGACGUAUGCACUGAUUCACAGCCGCAUCUUGCACGGAGGAGAUGUUCCAUUUGAAAUUUGAACUUCUUCGGUUUAACCGUCGCCCACUGCUAACGGUUUUCAGCCGUCUUUGCUAUCCUUAACAUCUCCGGCAGUUCAUUUUCGAGCCUUCAAACAGCCUCAGCAGCUAACCUUACUUCAGUGUUGAUUGGGCUGUCUUUUGGCAUAAAUACCUACUGACCUACACUGAAUGAAGCCUGGCUCAACAGUUCUGGUAAUCUGGUCAUAAAACUGCAUCACAUCGAGGUGAUUGGUAACCGCAUCAUUGUUAAGAUGCUGUUAAAAAGAGCCGUGUGUCCCGUGAUGCCACCCACACUGAAAUAUAUAGACAUGUUAUAAGAUGGUUCAACCUGGCUUCUGACAGGGGCAGCGGUAGGAAACAACGUGUCAGUGUCGCUUCCACAGAGGCCUAGUGAAGGUUUUUUUUAGAGAUAAUUGUUAUAGAUAUAUAGAGAUGUACA